UGACCUCAAAUCAGGUAGGACUACCCGCUGAACUUAAGCAUAUCAAUAAGCGGAGGAAAAGAAACUAACAAGGAUUCCCCUAGUAACUGCGAGUGAAGCGGGAAAAGCUCAAAUUUAAAAUCUGGCAGUCUUUGGCUGUCCGAGUUGUAAUCUAGAGAAGUAUUAUCCGCGCUGGACCGUGUACAAGUCUCCUGGAAUGGAGCGUCAUAGAGGGUGAGAAUCC
rnacentral:rRNA from 1 species